rnacentral:rRNA from 1 species
UACGUAGAAGACUAGUGUUAUUCAUCUUUAAUAGGUUUAAAGGGUACCUAGACGGUAUAAUUAGUCUUAAACAGGAUACGAUUAUACUAGAGUUAUAUAUGAGGAGGUGAGUAUUUAUGCAGUAGAGUUGAAAUUCGUUGAUAGCAUAACGACUGGUAACGGCGAAAGCAACCUUUUAUCUAAUAACUGACGUUGAGGGACGAAAGGCUCGGGAUAACGAACAGG